rnacentral:rRNA from 1 species
UCAGCGAGUCUGCCUUGAAGAUCGGAGUGCUUGCACUCUGUGAAACAAGAUACAGGCUAGCGGCGGACGGGUGAGUAACACGUGGGUAACCUGCCCAAGAGAUCGGGAUAACACCUGGAAACAGAUGCUAAUACCGGAUAACAACAGAUGAUGCCUAUCAACUGUUUAAAAGAUGGUUCUGCUAUCACUCUUGGAUGGACCUGCGGUGCAUUAGCUAGUUGGUAGGGUAACGGCCUACCAAGGCGAUGAUGCAUAGCCGAGUUGAGAGACUGAUCGGCCACAUUGGGACUGAGACACGGCCCAAACUCCUACGGGAGGCAGCAGUAGGGAAUCUUCCACAAUGGACGCAAGUCUGAUGGAGCAACGCCGCGUGAGUGAAGAAGGGUUUCGGCUCGUAAAGCUCUGUUGUUGGUGAAGAAGGACAGGGGUAGUAACUGACCUUUGUUUGACGGUAAUCAAUUAGAAAGUCACGGCUAACUACGUGCCAGCAGCCGCGGUAAUACGUAGGUGGCAAGCGUUGUCCGGAUUUAUUGGGCGUAAAGCGAGUGCAGGCGGCUCGAUAAGUCUGAUGUGAAAGCCUUCGGCUCAACCGGAGAAUUGCAUCAGAAACUGUCGAGCUUGAGUACAGAAGAGGAGAGUGGAACUCCAUGUGUAGCGGUGAAAUGCGUAGAUAUAUGGAAGAACACCGGUGGCGAAGGCGGCUCUCUGGUCUGUUACUGACGCUGAGGCUCGAAAGCAUGGGUAGCGAACAGGAUUAGAUACCCUGGUAGUCCAUGCCGUAAACGAUGAGUGCUAAGUGUUGGGAGGUUUUCGCCUCUCAGUGCUGCAGCU